GCAAGUCUAAGAUAGUAACUUUGAUCUGAGGGGAAGAUGAAGGACUAAGGUAGGUUUUGAAUUUUCUCAUAGUUGUAAGUUUCAAGAAAGAGUCAUGAUAAAAUCUAUUCCUAUUCAAGAAAGCUCCUCCUACUUCAAAUUAAGAGGUCAUUCUGCUAAUUCUUUAUGUCAUGUAUUCAAGUCAUUCCUAUAUGUAACAC
rnacentral:lncRNA from 1 species